rnacentral:rRNA from 1 species
GAUGAACGCUGGCGGCGUGCUUAACACAUGCAAGUCGAACGAAGCACUUUAUUUGAUUUCCUUCGGGACUGAUUAUUUUGUGACUGAGUGGCGGACGGGUGAGUAACGCGUGGGUAACCUGCCUUGUACAGGGGGAUAACAGUUGGAAACGGCUGCUAAUACCGCAUAAGCGCACAGCAUCGCAUGAUGCAGUGUGAAAAACUCCGGUGGUAUAAGAUGGACCCGCGUUGGAUUAGCUAGUUGGUGAGGUAACGGCCCACCAAGGCGACGAUCCAUAGCCGACCGGGGAGGGUGCCCGGCCACAUUGGGACUGAGACACGGCCCAAACUCCUACGGGAGGCAGCAGUGGAGAAUAUUGCACGAUGGGCGAAAGCCUGAUGCAGCGACGCCGCGUGAGCGAAGAAGUAUUUCGGUAUGUAAAGCUCUAUCAGCAGGGAAGAUAAUGACGGUACCUGACUAAGAAGCACCGGCUAAAUACGUG